rnacentral:rRNA from 2 species
UACGAACUGUGCAAACGUUAUUCGGAAUCACUGGGCUUAAAGGGUGCGUAGGCGGCUGUCUAAGUAGGGUGUGAAAGCCCCCGGCUCAACCGGGGAAUUGCGCCCUAAACUGGACGGCUGGAGUGAGGCAGGGGUGUGUGGAACUUCCGGUGGAGCGGUGAAAUGUGUUGAUAUCGGAAGGAACGCCGGUGGCGAAAGCGACACACUGGGUCUCAACUGACGCUGAGGCACGAAAGCCAGGGGAGCAAACGGG